CCCGUUUUUGUCUUCGUUGCAAAGAAACGAGUUCGAAUUCGGGAAGAAGAGACGCGAAGGCAAUCGAACGAUUUAUCUUCGAUCUCACGCUCUCCUGUUCAUCUUGGCGAUCUCCCUCCAUGAUGCUCGCUAAGGCCAGCGCAAAUGAAGCUGGAGGCGGAAGAGAGGCGGCCGCCGGCCUCUACUGCAUCGACCGGCGCUCUCCGAUGUCCCUAAGCGGUGGUGAAGCGCCUUCAUCCGAAGACCUGGGAAAGAAGACCCGUAAGCCCUACACGAUCACAAAGUCGAGGCAGAGUUGGACCGAGCAGGAUCACGACAAGUUCCUCGAGGCCCUCCAGCUUUUUGAUCGAGAUUGGAAAAAAAUAGAAGUAUUUGUGGGGUCAAAGACAGUAAUCCAGAUUAGGAGCCAUGCACAAAAAUACUUUUUGAAGGUUCAGAAGAAUGGUACAAAUGAACAUCUGCCACCACCUCGACCCAAACGAAAGGCGACUCAUCCAUAUCCUCAGAAAUCUUCUAAGAAUGUUUGUCAGAUACCUGAAGCCAAAAUCCGAUUCUGUGACUCAUGUCCCCUUGAAUCAGACCAUUCCUCCACAAGAGAGAGCUCAUCCAUUCGGAGGAACCACACAGAUAUGACAUUUACUUCUUUGCCUCAAAAUACUAUGCAGCCUGCUAAUCUGACAAAAGAUGGUAUUGUAAAUGCUGGAGUUUUGGUGGAAAACAAUAGUGAUAGCAGUGUCGAGUGUUCCAGAGUUUGGUCAGCUUGUGAUAUAACUGACAAGGAAAAUUUGGUCACAUCUCUUCAUGUUAUGCCAGACUUUGCCCAAGUUUACAGCUUUCUUGGAAGUGUGUUUGAUCCUUAUACAAGUGGGCAUUUGCAAAGAUUGAAAAUGAUGGAUCCAAUUGAUGUUGAAACUGUGCUGAUCUUGAUGCAAAACUUGGCUUUCAAUUUGACUAGUCCUGAGUUUGAGGAUCUUAUAAGGCUAUUUUCAGUAUAUGGCGGUGAUAUGGAAGAUGCUGCAUGACGUUGCCAACUUUUUUAACGCUAGAGAAGCAGCAAGGCCUGGUCACUAUAUCUUUAAAUUCCUAUUACUUUUUGAUUGGUAGACUAACAUGAGCAGUUGCCUUCCGCAACUGCAGAAGAGUCUCAUGCCUUUUGCAAAAAUAUAAUUUAGUUUACGACGUAGAGAUGGGAGUUUGUACAGCAGAGUCGUCGUCUUCAAGUGUUUGGGGAUUGGUGAUUGGUCAUUCAUCCUCCUACCCUUUGGGCUGGUUUAAUUGUAUAUGUAUUUUCGUGGACAUAACUGAGAUGGUAAAUUGAUGAAGAUUUAUCACUUGAGAGACCGAUGGAAUGAAUCUCGGGAUUGAUGGGACGUAGGUUCUUACGUCCCGUGUAACUCUCCCUUCUAAUUCACUUGCUGUCGAGCGUUUUGUCUUUGACCACUUUGUUUAAUUUGUAUCAUGUGAAUAAUGAUUAGUGGAUUUGAAACGUGCUGUCUAUGAAUUUUAUGGAAAAUCUAUUGCAAAAAUAUCAUGUAAUAAAGUCUUAGUAAAUUUGUUUUUUUUUUAAAAUAAAUUUAUGAAGAAUUUAUAUUAAUGUACUUAUUAAAAA